rfam:Ornithorhynchus anatinus chromosome X1, whole genome shotgun sequence.
CAGUGUGAGGAGGGCACAUGUGGUACAGUGUGAGCGUGGAAUAUGCUUCAUCACAUGUGACCUCACUUCACCGU